AUUGAACGCUGGCGGCAUGCUUUACACAUGCAAGUCAAACGGUAACAGGGGAGCUUGCUCCCGCUGACGAGUGGCGAACGGGUGAGUAAUGCAUCGGAACGUGCCGAAUAGUGGGGGAUAACGCACCGAAAGGUGUGCUAAUACCGCAUACGCCCUGAGGGGGAAAGUGGGGGACCGCAAGGCCUCACGCUAAUCGAGCGGCCGAUGUCGGAUUAGCUAGUUGGUGGGGUAAAGGCUCACCAAGGCGACGAUCCGUAGCGGGUCUGAGAGGAUGAUCCGCCACACUGGGACUGAGACACGGCCCAGACUCCUACGGGAGGCAGCAGGGGGGAAUUUUGGACAAUGGGGGAAACCCUGAUCCAGCCAUGCCGCGUGUCUGAAGAAGGCCUUCGGGUUGUAAAGGACUUUUGUCCGGGAGGAAACCCUGAUCGUUAAUAGCGGUCGGGACUGACAGUACCGGAAGAAUAAGCACCGGCUAACUACGUGCCAGCCGCCGCAGUAACAC
rnacentral:rRNA from 1 species